UUACAGUGUAAAUAUAAUUACUGUGACAUAGAUUUGCUUUGGUUCACUGAGCUGGCAAUGAGCAAGCUUUACAGCAUUGUAUCUUUUUGUUCUUGCUUAAAUUGCCUUUCUAGUAGGUGGUUGGAGCUAGAACCCAGACCACAGCUGCAGUCCCAAUGUGCUGUUGUAACAGUAUUAGCAUAUAAAGUAGAUAUCAUUGCAGAGUGCAGGGCUGAUUCCUACCGGCCCUAUGCGCUGUGAGUGUAGCGGGAAAGGUCCAUUUCAGUGUGCUUGGCACAGCAGGAACCUGCUGACUUGGCAGUACCUGCAGGAGACUCCGUGCUUUUCAGUGGUGGCUGCUCUACACUCCUGGAUUUUGCCGCCUUGCCAGCAGCACUGGGACCAGAACAAGCAGAGAAGUGUUUUCCAUGGAAAUCUUCUUUCCUAGAUUGAAUGACCCUUAUGCACUGUGUCUUUCCUGGUUGCACAGACAGGUCUGUACCAACAAGUGUUUCUCCUGAAGGAACCUAGAGCAUCUGGACAGGUCUGAGUGGGUCUGGUGUGGAAACGCAGUCCUGGGGAGCUCAGAUACAUGACAGUGCUUAUACAAGUAGUUAACCUAAGAAUAUUGACUACGCCUAUGCAUGUGUUUGCCCUAAUAGCACUGGUCUGAAUCCGAUAUACUUAUUGCCUCCAGAGGAGGCUGGCGGCCAUUUUGUCAGCCCAGAGCUGCUGCUGCAGCUAUGCAGCAGCUUCUUCACUGCUGGUUUCUCUCCAUGUAAACCUUCCUCCCUUACCACAUGUGCCCCCAGGCCCCUGUUUGCCACUCUUUGUCUUUUAGGGGGAAAAAGCCAAGUGUGGGAGGCUGGAUGUUGUUCCCUCUGCUGCCUGAGGGACCCUCUUGUGGCUUCCGGAAGGUUCCACAGAGCUUCCUGUCAGUGCCGUGGGACAGCCAGCGCCUCGCUUAUGACCUGUGGACGAGGGUGCUUCUGUGGCUGUCCAAAAAAAAAGGGAUAAAAAAAUGCUGGAAACAGCACAGCUGGAGAGCACGUAAUACUGCUGAAGAGAUGCAAAGAGAAGAUGCAGUUCUAUUAAGAGAUUUCAUGAGUACGCACAGCUAUGCAGGACAAAAGGACAACUUCUUCAUGAAAAGAAAUACUGUUGCUGGCUCAGACUUGGUGAGAGAAAGAGAUACGGAUACAUUGUAUAUCAGUGGAAGAAGACAUGAGACUCCGUCUGAUGUAGGGGCUCUAAGAAAUGGGAUGAGCGCUGUGAACUGGGUACAUUCCUUCUGCCUUUCUAUUCUGCUCCCAUUCAGCACUUGUAAUGGUAAUGAAGUCUAAUUACAAAUGCAUGUGACUGCCUGUUGUAAUCUGUCAGUGUGUUUCUGAAAAACCUUGUGCCAGUUCAGUAUUGGUCAUUAGAUAAUAAGGAUUGAUAAAACGUAAGGGGCAAAAUGUUAAAAAUGCUACUAUCGAUUAGAACGCACCUUAAUAAUGAAACCAUGGGCCUGGGGACGAAAGCCAUGGAUCAUUUUGACAAUUCGGCCUUAGAUUGUGGAUGAGACAGAGUGGGGACAAUUAAUCCCUCAGAGCCACAAAUCACAAAUAAAGUAGUUGCAGCUCAUUACA
ensembl:lncRNA